AACGCGAAGAACCUUACCCAGACUUGACAUGCACAGGACAUCGCUAGAGAUAGCGCUUCCCUUCGGGGCCUGUGCACAGGUGCUGCAUGGCUGUCGUCAGCUCGUGCCGUGAGGUGUUGGGUUAAGUCCCGCAACGAGCGCAACCCUUAUCGUUAGUUGCCAGCACGUAAUGGUGGGAACUCUAACGAGACUGCCUGGGUUAACCAGGAGGAAGGUGAGGAUGACGUCAAGUCCGCAUGGCCCUUAUGUCUGGGGCUACACACGUGCUACAAUGGUCGGUACAGAGGGCAGCGAACCCGAAAGGCGGAGCAAAUCCCCCAAAGCCGAUCUCAGUUCAGAUUGUAGUCUGCAACUCGACUACAUGAAGACGGAAUUGCUAGUAAUGGCAGGUCAGCAACACUGCCGUGAAUACGUUCCCGGGCCUUGUACACACCGAGACGUA
rnacentral:rRNA from 1 species